rnacentral:rRNA from 1 species
AUCAGCAGCCAUAUCACCCUGCAGCCCAAGACUGGUCGCCACACUGAAGCGAAGCAGGGUUGAGUCUGGUCAGUACCUGGAUGGGAGACCUCCUGGGAAAACUAGGUUGCUGCUGGAA